rnacentral:rRNA from 1 species
UACGGGGGGGGCAAGCGUUGUUCGGAAUUACUGGGCGUAAAGGGCGCGUAGGCGGCCUGCUAAGUCGGACGUGAAAUCCCUCGGCUCAACCGAGGAACUGCGUCCGAUACUGGUGGGCUUGAAUCCGGGAGAGGGAUGUGGAAUUCCAGGUGUAGCGGUGAAAUGCGUAGAUAUCUGGAGGAACACCGGUGGCGAAGGCGGCAUCCUGGACCGGUAUUGACGCUGAUGCGCGAAAGCGUGGGGAGCAAACGGG